GCGGGUAUAGUUCAGUGGUAGAACCUCAGCCUUCCAAGCUGUUGGCGCGAGUUCGAUUCUCGCUACCCGCUCCA
rnacentral:tRNA from 1 species